GACGAACGCUGGCGGCGUGCUUGACACAUGCAAGUCGAGCGGUAAGGCCCUUUCGGGGGUACACGAGCGGCGAACGGGUGAGUAACACGUGGGUGACCUGCCCUCAGCUCUGGGAUAAGCCUGGGAAACCGGGUCUAAUACUGGAUAUGACUCCAUGACGCAUGUUGUGGGGUGGAAAGCCUUGUGCGGCUGAGGAUGGGCCCGCGGCCUAUCGGCUUGUUGGUGGGGUGAUGGCCUACCAAGGCGACGACGGGUAGCCGGCCUGAGAGGGCGACCGGCCACACUGGGACUGAGACACGGCCCAGACUCCUACGGGAGGCAGCAGUGGGGAAUCUUGCGCAAUGGGCGAAAGCCUGACGCAGCGACGCCGCGUGAGGGAUGACGGCCUCGGUGU
rnacentral:rRNA from 1 species